CACAUACAGGCCUAUGAAGCUGUCUUAAGACUUCACAAAUAGUUUACAAAACGCUUCAGAAAUUUUUUUAAAUUUAGAAUAGUUGACAGUAAUCAACAAUUUGCAAGAACUGCAUAUUCUGCUUGAUUUUAGACUCUCGUCAUACAUAAAUUUUAACUAUGGUUCAUCAAAGACAACAACGAAGAGGAAAAUGUCAACAUCUAGAAUAACUAUGGAAUACCUAAUAUACAGACAAACACCUAGAACUCCCUCUUCGUCUCUUCUGCAGAGUUUGAAAUAAAUCCAGAAAGAGGGUGGGGAGGGACGACCAGAUCCAAGGGAAUGCCGUUAGAAGUGGCACAAAUAUUAAUAGAUAUCGCCACUCACGAAUUUACUGGUGGCUCGCCGAUCAUUGACGAAUGAGUUGGGAUGGGAAAUGCCUGUUUUCUAGCACAAAAUUCAAAUUUAUAGAACACAAUGCACCAUGUUAUUGCUACUCCCUUUUAGAAAAGAAUAUACAUGAUAAACCUUCAGUGCCUCUUCUCAACUCUCUGAUGAACGUCUAGCACACAUUCAAAGCCAGCAGCAGAACGAACUACAACACAAAAGAAUGAUGAUAAUCCUCAAAUGACAGAACUCCUCUUUUUUAAGACACAUCUACAGCAAUACGACAUUUGAUGAACUACAAACAAUUAGUGCAAGCAUUGGGAUCACAAAAAGUAAUCAGGAGUCUUCCUUGUGGUGUCAGGCUCUAUCUGCCGUGGAGCUGGGUCAAACUGAAGGAAAUUCUGCUCCAUGUUUUCGCCUAUUUCUAGAAUUGCAGCCAUGUUGCCACACCGGUAACAAUAGUUUGGAGCACUAAAUACUGUCACAACAUUCUUAUCCUGUUGAAGUUGUAACAAAUAGCAUGUCAAAUAUAAAGUAAUAAUUAAAAACUAGCAAUUUCAAGUCACAACAUUCUUAUCCUGUUGAAGUUAUA
rnacentral:lncRNA from 1 species